UGGGGAAUAUUGCACAAUGGGCGCAAGCCUGAUGCAGCCAUGCCGCGUGUGUGAAGAAGGCCUUCGGGUUGUAAAGCACUUUCAGCGAGGAGGAAGGGCAGUGUGUUAAUAGCACAUUGCAUUGACGUUACUCGCAGAAGAAGCACCGGCUAACUCCGUGCCAGCAGCCGCGGUAAUACGGAGGGUGCAAGCGUUAAUCGGAAUUACUGGGCGUAAAGCGCACGCAGGCGGUUUGUUAAGUCAGAUGUGGAAUCCCCGCGCUUAACGUGGGAACUGCAUUUGAAACUGGCAAGCUAGAGUCUUGUAGAGGGGGGUAGAAUUCCAGGUGUAGCGGUGAAAUGCGUAGAGAUCUGGAGGAAUACCGGUGGCGAAGGCGGCCCCCUGGACAAAGACUGACGCUCAGGUGCGAAAGCGUGGGGAGCAAACA
rnacentral:rRNA from 1 species